rnacentral:rRNA from 1 species
UACGGAGGGAGCUAGCGUUGUUCGGAAUUACUGGGCGUAAAGCGUGCGCAGGCGGUUGUGCAAGACAGAUGUGAAAUCCCCGGGCUUAACCUGGGAACUGCAUUUGUGACUGCACAGCUGGAGUGCGGCAGAGGGGGAUGGAAUUCCGCGUGUAGCAGUGAAAUGCGUAGAUAUGCGGAGGAACACCGAUGGCGAAGGCAAUCCCCUGGGCCUGCACUGACGCUCAUGCACGAAAGCGUGGGGAGCAAACAGG